rnacentral:tRNA from 1 species
GUGGCCGUAGCUCAAUGGCAGAGCGCUCGGCUGUGGCCCGAGUGGUUGGGAGUUCGAGUCUCCUCGGCCACCCCA